GGGAAAAAGCCAAAAAGCAUAAUAUGAGCACUUUAACACAUGACGUUUCUAGACAUAUGCCAUUAUGUUUGUAGACAUAAUUUAGCAGAAAUGUUAUGGUUCAGAUUACCGGAAGACGUAUGAAGCAGGAUUGAAGAACCGUCUUUGUUCCAGAUGCUACACUUCAUUUCUGUAAUGGACAACAGGCUCAUUGAUUUCGAUGACACAGCAUCCAUCAAUUCAACACUCACGUGAGGACUUCGACAGACUCCCCAGGUUCGUCAUCCUACUUGGCUUUGGAAUCCACCACUGGGUAAAAAAAAAAAAAAAGAGGUUUAUUUCCUGAACUGUUCAUCCCUUCUGACUCAAGAAUACGCCGAGCACGAGGACAGCAGCUACAGGACGCACGGAGAAGAAAACGGGUGAGAGUCUGGGGUGAGACUGGCGUAGAUUGUCAUGUUUAGAAGCUCUGAAAUAAGUUAUUUCCCACGAUGCUGGGGUUGACCACGUGCAAUUAAACACAAAAGCUCUGCGAUAAAUACUUUUUUCAACUUAUUUAUACACUGAAACUUACAGUAAUAUGCCCAAAAAAAAUAUUUGUUGAAAUAAAAGAGAUGAGACAUAUAGUGUGUUUUUUUGUAUUUUUAUACAGAAAAACUUAACUCCUUACAACAAAGCCAGACAAUUCUUAAAACGAUGGCAUCAAAAAAACACAAAGCUGAAAAACCUCACAUUU